GGGUGCGAUCAUACCAGCGUUAAUGCACCUGAUCCCAUCAUAACUCCGCAGUCAAGCGUGCUUGGGCUAGAGUAGUACUGGGAUGGGUGACCUCUCAGGGAAGUUCUAGUGUUGCACCCU
rnacentral:rRNA from 1 species